AAAAAGGAACAUUAGGUCUCGGAACUAUGCAGAAUCCCCAUUCCAGAACAGUAUAGAUUGCCAUUACAACACCCACUCCACCCACCCCAAAUCAAAUUGGUUUGCCCAUAUACGCCAACUACAAACUAAACCUUCAUAGAGAUUCUUCUCGGUUACCCUGAAGAGAACCUAGCCUCCAUUUUACAUAUUUCAAUAUCACAAUGAUUCAAGAUGAAAGCAAUCAACUCUUUAUGACAUGUGAGUGAAUCCCAAUAUACCGAGAGAGUUCUUUUCUUCUUUCUGCAGAGACCACUGGUUCUAUAUAAUUAUGAUGAAAAUAGGAAAAAUGGAUUAUUUUCCCAACAGUGUUCAACAGAUUAUCAGAUUAUUCUCAAGGAUCUGGAUUGAAUUUUACAGAUUCCCUCCAGAUGAGCUCCUUGAUAUUUUCCUCAGUAAAUGUUGGCUGCUCAAAAUCGAAGUUGAAAGGCCUUGGGCAAACAGGCUCCUCAUUGAUAUCGUGAAGAGGCGCCAAGUAAGGGUGGCACAGUGCCUCAUCAACAGUAAUGCGCCUGUUUGGAUCAAAGACUAG
rnacentral:misc_RNA from 1 species